UUCAAGAAAGGAAUUUUAGUCCCGCUUAAAGUUAAACAAGUCCAAAUUAAACACUCACCACACUUUAAAGUAACUCAAAUAAGGUACAGCUUAUUUGAGCCAGGGCACAACCUACACCAAAGGGUAAACAAAGUACUACGGCAAACCUGUGGGCCUAAUAGCAGCCAUCAAAUAAAAAGCGUUAAAGCUUACCUGCCAACACUAACUAAUUUCAUCACAAAAACUGAACCCUUCACCAAUAUUGAAUUUCUCUAUAUUUGUAUAGAACUAAUAAUGUUAAAACUAGUAAUAAGAAAUUUUUCUCUUAAGUGUAAGUAUUUACUCAAAUUUAUUAACGUUUUUAACCCUAAAGUAAUAACCCAUUACAUUAAAAAACACUACUACCUUUUACGUAAACCUAACUCAAGAACACUUCAAGCAAAGAUUAAAUGAGAAAAAAGGAACUCGGCAAAUAUUGAUAUCGCCUGUUUACCAAAAACAUCGCCUCUUGACCUUAUAUGAGGUCCAGCCUGCCCAGUGAAUAUUCAACGGCCGCGGUAUCCUAACCGUGCGAAGGUAGCACAAUCACUUGUCUUUUAAUUAGAGACUGGUAUGAAUGGCAUCACGAAUAUCCAACUGUCUCUUUUCUCCAACCAUUGAAACUAAUCUCCCCGUGAAAAAGCAGGGAUAAUGAUAUAAGACGAGAAGACCCUAUGAAGCUUUAAACCAAAUUAUAUAUAUAGUACUAUAUUUCUAUAAUAAGGUUUUCGGUUGGGGCGACCUUGGAGAACAAUAUAUCCUCCAAUUUGAAUAAGAAAUAACUUUCCUAAACUAUAUGCCACAGCUUUAAGUAUCAAUAAAUGACAUUCAUUGACCCAGCUUUCUGAUCAACGAACCAAGUUACUCUAGGGAUAACAGCGCAAUCUUCUUCGAGAGUACAUAUCGACAAGAAGGUUUACGACCUCGAUGUUGGAUCAGGGUGACCUUGUGGCGCAGCCGCUACAAAAGGUUCGUUUGUUCAACGAUUAAC
rnacentral:rRNA from 1 species